rnacentral:rRNA from 1 species
UGAGUUUGAUCCUGGCUCAGGAUUAACGCUGGGGGCAUGCCUAAUACAUGCAAGUCGAACGAAAGUAGCAAUACUUUAGUGGCGAACGGGUGAGUAACACGUAUCUAACCUACCAUUUAGUGGGGAAUAACUGUUGGAAACGGCAGCUAAUACCGCAUAUGUUAUUUAUUUGCAAUAAUAAGUAAUAAAAGGAGCAUUUGCUUCGCUAAUUGAUGGGGAUGCGGCGCAUUAACUAGUUGGUAAGGUAAUGGCUUACCAAGGUAAUGAUGCGUAGCCGAUCUGAGAGGAUGAACGGCCACAUUGGGACUGAGACACGGCCCAAACUUCUACGGAAGGCAGCAGUAGGGAAUUUUUCACAAUGGGCGAAAGCCUGAUGGAGCAAUGCCGCGUGACUGAUGAAGGUCUUCGGAUUGUAAAGGUCUGUUGUAAGGGAAGAAGUGCUAGCAAAGGAAAUGAUGUUAGUAUCGACCAUACCUUACCAGAAAGCCACGGCU